AUACUGACCUGGCAGGGGAGAUACCGUGAUCACGAAGGUGGUUUUCCCAGGGCAAGGCUGUAUGGGC
rnacentral:snRNA from 1 species